UCCGGCUUGUCGCCGGCGGUCCCUUUAGAGUGCCCAACUAAAUGAUGGCAACUAAAGGCGAGGGUUGCGCUCGUUGCGGGACUUAACCCAACACCUCACGGCACGAGCUGACGACAGCCACGCAGCACCUGAACCGAAGGUCCCCGAAGGGAAGACCCCAUCUCUGGAGCUGUCCUCCGUUGUCUAGCCCAGGUAAGGUUCUUCGCGUUGCGUCGAAUUGAACCACAUGCUCCACCGCUUGUGCGGGCCCCCGUCAAUUCCUUUGAGUUUUAGCCUUGCGGCCGUAGUCCCCAGGCGGCGGACUUAAUGCGUUAGCUGCGGCGCCGAGGGGGUCGAUACCCCCGACACCUAGUCCGCAUCGUUUACGGCGUGGACUAC
rnacentral:misc_RNA from 1 species